AACGAACGCUGGCGGCAGGCUUAACACAUGCAAGUCGAGCGCCCCGCAAGGGGAGCGGCAGACGGGUGAGUAACGCGUGGAAUCUACCCAUCUCUACGGAAUAACGCAUGGAAACGUGUGCCUAUACCGUAUACGUCCUUCGGGAGAAAGAUUUAUCGGAGAUGGAUGAGCCCGCGUUGGAUUAGCUAGUUGGUGGGGUAAAGGCCUACCAAGGCGACGAUCCAUAGCUGGUCUGAGAGGAUGAUCAGCCACACUGGGACUGAGACACGGCCCAGACUCCUACGGGAGGCAGCAGUGGGGAAUAUUGGUCAAUGGGCGCAAGCCUGAUCCAGCCAUGCCGCGUGAGCGAUGAAGGCCCUAGGGUUGUAAAGCUCUUUCACCGGUGAAGAUAAUGACGGUAACCGGAGAAGAAGCCCCGGCUAACUUCGUGCCAGCAGCCGCCGUAACAC
rnacentral:rRNA from 1 species